CUGAGUUGAUCUACUCUGAGAUAGAAAACUCUGAGUAUUCGGUUUCACAACGGCUGAUCUGAGUUGGUUUAAUCAACUCGGAGUAGUUUCACCCGGAGUUAAGCGCGUGCACCACAACUAUAAAAAGACAGCAUCAAUGGAACCCCGAUUCGACGAGUCACCAUGGCAACAGGGAAGCGGAGAGCUACGUUUUUUACACCACUUGAACUGGACAUCUUAAUUCGUUCAUAUUGCAACUACGAACACGUUUUUAGAAAGAAGUGCAACACCUGCAGCUGUAAAAGAGAGGGAGACGGUGUGGGAGAACAUUGCUGCCCGAGUCAAUGCGGGAGAAGAGCAUGUGGCAGCAGCUGAAGAUGAAAUAUAAAAACAUUUUUAAAACAGCCAACAGAAAGAGAUGCCCGUAAAACAGGUGGUGGCCCAGCACCACCACCUGUAACGGAGGCAGAGGAGCUGGUCCUAAGCCAGAAUUUGGGAAGGCCAGUGGCUGAAGGAAACCCUGGAGGGAGCUCAUCCUCUGAGACCACCCCCCAAGACACAAGUGCUUUUAUAAAAUAUUCUGAUGGUGUUAUCUGCCUGGUGGAGCCCCUUCACACCACAACAGAGCUUGUAACUGAUGAAGAGGAUGAAACUGUGUCUGCUGCCUUCAUAGAGGGGGAUCCAGAAAGGCAUACAGAGAGCAUGGCUGGACAGCAGCAGGAUGCUUCCUCAACUUCCACUGCACAGAUUGACACAGUUUCCCAGAGACUAUGGGUUGAGGAGGAAUUGGAAGUUUGUCGGCUUAGACCUGGUGUCAUUCCAUCAGUGUUAAACUUCCCGGUUCAUCUUGGAAGAGUACGUGCCAGAAAGACCACGACCAAGCAGCCUUGAGAUCUUAGGCAGCGUCUCCCUGAGGUCCCUCUCUAUCUCCCCACACAUCCACCAACCACUGGAACACAUCUCCAAAGUUCUGCUGGGCCAGCUCAGCUUCCCCUCAGAAGAAGUGGCGCCACCUGCCAGAUGAAGGAGCUUUUUGAGAGGCAGCUGGCAUCGUGAUUGGACUGUACUUUGGUCUGUUCCAAUCCAGCUUCAGCUCCAGAGACGGCAGGCGGGACGAGUCAACGGAGGCCUGGUGGACGAAGGCAUGCAGCUGAGUACAAUCCAGAAAACAACAGAGGAGGAGUGCAGCAGCCCAGAGCCAGAACAACCAGAGUAGCAUCACCAAAGAACUACAGACUCUUCACAACCUGCUCAAACUCUUGGUACAGGACCUCACCACACG
ensembl:lncRNA